UGAACGGAGCGGGGAGGGGGGGGGGCCGUUAGGACUCUCGCUAUAAGAUGAGCCUGCGUCCGAUUAGCUAGUUGGUGGGGUAAAGGCCUACCAAGGCGAUGAUCGGUAGCUGGUCUGAGAGGAUGAUCAGCCACACUGGGACUGAGACACGGUCCAGACUCCUACGGGAGGCAGCAGUGGGGAAUAUUGGACAAUGGGGGCAAGCCUGAUGCCAGCGAUGCCGCGUGUAGUGAAGAAGGCCUUCAGGGUGGUAUAACGCUACUUUUGAGUGGGGCAAGCAAAGAUGUAUCACUCUAGGUGUUUGAGUAGUCGCGCUGAAUGGUGAAUAAUUGUACGGUAUACGCCAGCAGAAGAUAGGGCAACU
rnacentral:rRNA from 1 species